GCUGGGAAUGGUGGUGCAUGCCUGAAGUCUAAGCUACUGGGAGGCUGAGGCAGGAGGAUCACUUGAGCCCAGGAGUUCCAGGCUGCAAUGAGCUAUGAUUGUACCACUGCACUCUAGCCUGGGUAACAGAGUAAGACCCUGUUUCUU
ensembl:misc_RNA Metazoa_SRP Metazoan signal recognition particle RNA